CACCGAGGCCUUAGGACUGGGGCGCAGGUGGGGGGACAGCUGUUUGAACUGCCUCGGAAAUGUCUGUGCGCGUUACAGUGCCGCUGGAGCCAGAGUCCUUCUGAUUCGAUGAGCAAACUAUGAAGGGAAAUCAGAAGGGAGGAGGGCAUCAGCAUCGUGACAAGACCUGAGCACUGGAUUCACUGUGUGGAUUACAAAGCCGGGCCCACAAAGGGGAGGAAUCACCCAGCCAGUAGGUGAAAGAGCCUUCAUUCAAAUCAAGGCCACCGACCUCCAAAGCAGGCCACCCCAAGAAACAAGACGUCCAGGAAAGCGGAGUUUUGCAGAGGCUGGGUGUCGGCAGGACUGAAAUGCAGCUGAGGUCCAAGCGCACUGCGACUCCGGUCCUGCAUGGCUGCAUCUUCCCAGGGACGACUGCCCAGCUCCGUGGGAGCUCUGGGAAGGCCCUGCCUCUGUGCUGCUUCACCACCACCUCUCCCCAGUGCCGCGGCUCAAGCCCUUGGCCUUUUUGCAAGAAAAGCGAGACACUCCUAUAACGGUGUUUGCAGCAGACACACAGCUUGCUCUUAUUAAACAAAUUAAAUUGGAUUGGAAACAAAAUGAAAAAGAAGUGGCUGCAAAGACAGUUGACCUGAACAUUAACCUCUUUAUAGUAAAACCCUACUCGAAUCCAUGGGACGAGACCCGUGCCUCUAUCAGGGGACAAAAAGAGUGAAGGUGUGUUACAGACUUGCACCAGCUGCCUGCGAUGAACAUGAUCAUCAUGUACCACAAAUGUGGACUGAUGAAAAAUAAUGCAAGCCUAAUGGUAAUAAAAAAGAUUUCUUUUUU